GACGAACGCUGGCGGCGUGCUUAACACAUGCAAGUCGAACGGUAAGGCCCUUCGGGUACGACGAGUGGCGAACGGGUGAGUAACACGUGGGUGAUCUGCCCUGCACUUCGGGAUAAGCCUGGGAAACUGGUCUAAUACCGGAUAGGACCAUGGACUUCACGGUUUGUGGUGGAAAGCUUUUGCGGUGUGGGAUGGGCCCGCGGCCUAUCAGCUUGUUGGUGGGGUAAUGGCCUACCAAGGCGACGACGGGUAGCCGGCCUGAGAGGGUGUCCGGCCACACUGGGACUGAGAUACGGCCCAGACUCCUACGGGAGGCAGCAGUGGGGAAUAUUGCACAAUGGGCGCAAGUCUGAUGCAGCGACGCCG
rnacentral:rRNA from 1 species